rnacentral:rRNA from 1 species
UACGUAGGGGGCAAGCGUUGUCCGGAUUCAUUGGGCGUAAAGAGCGUGUAGGCGGCCAGGCAGGUCCGCUGUGAAAACUCGAGGCUCAACCUCGAGAUGUCGGUGGAAACCGUCUGGCUAGAGUCCGGAAGAGGAGAGUGGAAUUCCCGGUGUAGCGGUGAAAUGCGCAGAUAUCAGGAAGAACACCCGUGGCGAAGGCGGCUCUCUGGGCCGAUUCUGACACUGAGGAGCGAAAGCGUGGGGAGCGAACAGG